rnacentral:rRNA from 1 species
AUUGAACGCUGGCGGCAGGCCUAACACAUGCAAGUCGAGCGAGCGGCGGACGGGUGAGUAAUGUCUGGGAAACUGCCUGAUGGAGGGGGAUAACUAAUGGAAACGGUAGCUAAUAACGCAUACCAUCAGAUGUGCCCAGAUGGGAUUAGCUAGUGGGUGGGGUAACGGCUCACCUAGGCGACGAUCCCUAGCUGGUCGGAGAGGAUGACCAGCCAACCUGGACCGGAGACACGGUCCAGACUCCUACGGGGGGCAGCAUUGGGGAUUAUUGCACAAUGGGCGCAAGCCUGACGCAGCCAUGCCGCGUGUGUGAAGAAGGCCUUCGGGUUGUAAAGCACGUUCAGCGGGGAGGCGUUACCCGCAGAAGAAGCACCGGCUAACUCCGUGCCAGCAGCCGCGGUAAUAC